GAUGACGUCCGAUCAGGCAGGAUCCGCUGAACUUAGC
rnacentral:rRNA from 1 species